AGUGAACGCUGGCGGUAGGCCUAACACAUGCAAGUCGAACGGCAGCACAGUAAGAGCUUGCUCUUACGGGUGGCGAGUGGCGGACGGGUCAGGAAUACAUCGGAAUCUACUUUUUCGUGGGGGAUAACGUAGGGAAACUUACUCUAAUACCGCAUACGACCUACGGGUGAAAGCAGGGGAACUUCUGACCUGGUGCGAUUGGAUGAGCCGAUGUCGGAUUAGCUAGUUGGCGGGGUAAAUGCCCACCAAGGCGACGAUCCGUAGCUGAUCUGAGAGGAUGGUCAGCGACACUGGAACGUAGACAGGGUCCAGACUCCUGCGGGAGGCAGCAGUGGGGAAUAUUGGGCAAAGGGCGCAAGCCUGAUCCAGCCAUACCGCGUGGGUGAAGAAGGCGUUCGGGUUGUAAAGCCCUUUUGUUGGGAAAGAAAAGCAGCAGGUUAAUACCCCGCUGUUCUGACGGUACCCAAAGAAUAAGCACCGGCUAACUUCGUG
rnacentral:rRNA from 1 species